rnacentral:rRNA from 1 species
GACGAACGCUGGCUGCGUGCUUAACACAUGCAAGUCGAACGGAAAGGCCCUGCUUUUGUGGGGUGCUCGAGUGGCGAACGGGUGAGUAACACGUGAGUAACCUGCCCUUGACUUUGGGAUAACUUCAGGAAACUGGGGCUAAUACCGGAUAGGAGCUCCUGCUGCAUGGUGGGGGUUGGAAAGUUUCGGCGGUUGGGGAUGGACUCGCGGCUUAUCAGCUUGUUGGUGGGGUAGUGGCUUACCAAGGCUUUGACGGGUAGCCGGCCUGAGAGGGUGACCGGCCACAUUGGGACUGAGGUACGGCCCAGACUCCUACGGGAGGCAGCAGUGGGGAAUAUUGCACAAUGGGCGGAAGCCUGAUGCAGCAACGCCGCGUGCGGGAUGACGGCCUUCGGGUUGUAAACCGCUUUCGCCUGUGACGAAGCGUGAGUGACGGUAAUGGGUAAAGAAGCACCGGCUAACUACGUGCCAGCAGCCGCGGUGAUACGUAGGGUGCGAGCGUUGUCCGGAUUUAUUGGGCGUAAAGGGCUCGUAGGUGGUUGAUCGCGUCGGAAGUGUAAUCUUGGGGCUUAACCCUGAGCGUGCUUUCGAUACGGGUUGACUUGAGGAAGGUAGGGGAGAAUGGAAUUCCUGGUGGAGCGGUGGAAUGCGCAGAUAUCAGGAGGAACACCAGUGGCGAAGGCGGUUCUCUGGGCCUUUCCUGACGCUGAGGAGCGAAAGCGUGGGGAGCGAACAGGCUUAGAUACCCUGGUAGUCCACGCUGUAAACGGUGGGUACUAGGUGUGGGGUCCAUUCCACGGGUUCCGUGCCGUAGCUAACGCUUUAAGUACCCCGCCUGGGGAGUACGGCCGCAAGGCUAAAACUCAAAGGAAUUGACGGGGCCCCGCACAAGCGGCGGAGCAUGCGGAUUAAUUCGAUGCAACGCGUAGAACCUUACCUGGGUUUGACAUGGAUCGGGAGUGCUCAGAGAUGGGUGUGCCUCUUUUGGGGUCGGUUCACAGGUGGUGCAUGGCUGUCGUCAGCUCGUGUCGUGAGAUGUUGGGUUAAGUCCCGCAACGAGCGCAACCCUUGUUCACUGUUGCCAGCACGUUAUGGUGGGGACUCAGUGGAGACCGCCGGGGUCAACUCGGAGGAAGGUGGGGAUGACGUCAAGUCAUCAUGCCCCUUAUGUCCAGGGCUUCACGCAUGCUACAAUGGCUGGUACAGAGAGUGGCGAGCCUGUGAGGGUGAGCGAAUCUCGGAAAGCCGGUCUCAGUUCGGAUUGGGGUCUGCAACUCGACCUCAUGAAGUCGGAGUCGCUAGUAAUCGCAGAUCAGCAACGCUGCGGUGAAUACGUUCCCGGG